rnacentral:misc_RNA from 1 species
AACGCACAUUGCGCCCUCUGGUAUUCCGGGGGGCAUGCCUGUUCGAGCGUCAUUUCACCACUCAAGCCUGGCUUGGUAUUGGGCGUCGCGGCUCCGCGCGCCUUAAAGUCCUCCGGCUGAGCUGUCCGUCUCUAAGCGUUGUGGCAACUAUUCGCUUCGGAGUUCGGGUGGCCGCGGCCGUUAAAUCUUUCACAAGGUUGACCUCGGAUCAGGUAGGGAUACCCGCUGAACUUAA